UAAUACGAACCGUCCAAACGUUAUUCGGAUUCAUUGGGCUUAAAGGGUAUGUAGGCGGCGCUGUCAGUCGGGUGUGAAAGCCCUCGGCUCAACCGAGGAACUGCGCCCGAUACUGCAGCGCUUGAGGGAGACAGAGGUAAGCGGAACUGAUGGUGGAGCGGUGAAAUGCGUUGAUAUCAUCAGGAACACCGGUGGCGAAAGCGGCUUACUGGGUCUCUUCUGACGCUGAGAUACGAAAGCUAGGGGAGCGAAGGGGAUUAGAUACCCCCGUAGUCCUAGCUGUAAACGAUGAGCACUUGACCGUGGGGCCCCCCAUAGCCUCUCGGUCGUAGCGAAAGUGAUAAGUGCUCCGCCUGGGGAGUAUGGUCGCAAGGCUG
rnacentral:rRNA from 1 species